rnacentral:rRNA from 1 species
CCUACGGGGUGCAGCAGUGGGGAAUAUUGGACAAUGGGCGAAAGCCUGAUCCAGCCAUGCCGCGUGUGUGAAGAAGGCCUUCGGGUUGUAAAGCACUUUCAGUGGGGAAGAAAGCCUUGGGGCUAAUACCCUCGAGGAAGGACAUCACCCACAGAAGAAGCACCGGCUAACUCCGUGCCAGCAGCCGCGGUAAUACGGAGGGUGCGAGCGUUAAUCGGAAUUACUGGGCGUAAAGCGCGCGUAGGCGGUCUGAUAAGCCGGUUGUGAAAGCCCCGGGCUCAACCUGGGAACGGCAUCCGGAGCUGUCAGGCUAGAGUGCAGGAGAGGAAGGUAGAAUUCCCGGUGUAGCGGUGAAAUGCGUAGAGAUCGGGAGGAAUACCAGUGGCGAAGGCGGCCUUCUGGACUGACACUGACGCUGAGGUGCGAAAGCGUGGGUAGCAAACAGGAUUACAUACCCGAGUAGUC